CACAAGCGGUGGAUGAUGUGGAUUAAUUCGAUGCAACGCGAAGAACCUUACUACCCUUGACAUGUCCGGAACUUGCCAGAGAUGGCUUGGUGCCCGAAAGGGAAUCGGAACACAGGUGCUGCAUGGCUGUCGUCAGCUCGUGUCGUGAGAUGUUGGGUUAAGUCCCGCAACGAGCGCAACCCUUAUCAUUAGUUGCUACGCAAGGGCACUCUAAUGAGACUGCCGGUGACAAACCGGAGGAAGUGGGGAUGACGUCAAGUCCUCAUGGCCCUUAUGGGUAGGGCUUCACACGUCAUACAAUGGUCGGUACAGAGGGUUGCCAAGCCGCGAGGCGGAGCCAAUCCCACAAAGCCGAUCGUAGUCCGGAUUGUUCUCUGCAACUCGAGAGCAUGAAGUCGGAAUCGCUAGUAAUCGCAGGUCAGCAUACUGCGGUGAAUACGUUCCCGGGGCUU
rnacentral:rRNA from 1 species